GGGGGCGGAGACCGUGCACUCGUCGCGAUGACUGCAGCAAGCGCUGUGGGCGGCCUGGGAAGUUCGGCGUCCGAUAUAGCAUCGACUGUGAUGAACAAUCAGCAAGGAAAAAAUGAGGAAUGAUCCUGCAGUCUGCAUGAAUACCUUCACACCUGCUGGGGUAUGAAGACAAGAAAAGAGGAACCCUCAUCGUCAUCCUAACUACUAAGAAUAAAAGCAAAUAACGAGUGAGCAAU